rnacentral:rRNA from 1 species
GCAGGGGAUCUUCGGACCUUGCGCUAAUAGAUGAGCCUAAGUCGGAUUAGCUAGUUUGGUGGGGUAAAGGCCUACCAAGGCGACGAUCUGUAGCGGGUCUGAGAGGAUGAUCCGCCACACUGGGACUGAGACACGGCCCAGACUCCUACGGGAGGCAGCAGUGGGGAAUAUUGGACAAUGGGGGGAACCCUGAUCCAGCCAUGCCGCGUGUGUGAAGAAGGCCUUUUGGUUGUAAAGCACUUUAGGCGAGGAGGAGGCUUACCUGGUUAAUACCCGGAAUAAGUGGACGUUACUCGCAGAAUAAGCACCGGCUAACUCUGUGCCAGCAGCCGCGGUAAUACAGAGGGUGCAAGCGUUAAUCGGAUUUACUGGGCGUAAAGCGCGCGUAGGUGGCUAAUUAAGUCGGAUGUGAAAUCCCCGAGCUUAACUUGGGAAUUGCAUUCGAUACUGGUUAGCUAGAGUAUGGGAGAGGAUGGUAGAAUUCCAGGUGUAGCGGUGAAAUGCGUAGAGAUCUGGAGNGNANANUACCGANUNGGCGAAGGCAGCCAUCUGGCCUAAUACUGACACUGAGGUGCGAAAGCAUGGGGAGCAAACAGGAUUAGAUACCCUGGUAGUCCAUGCCGUAAACGAUGUCUACUACCCGUUGGGGCCCUUGAGGCUUUAGUGGCGCAGCUAACGCGAUAAGUAGACCGCCUGGGGANGUACGNGUNCGCAANGACUAAAACUCAAAUGAAUUGACGGGGGCCCGCACAAGCGGUGGAGCAUGUGGUUUAAUUCGAUGCAACGCGAAGAACCUUACCUGGCCUUGACAUACAGAAAACUUUCCAGAGAUGGAUUGGUGCCUUCGGGAACUCUGAUACAGGUGCUGCAUGGCUGUCGUCAGCUCGUGUCGUGAGAUGUUGGGUUAAGUCCCGCAACGAGCGCAACCCUUUUCCUUAUUUGCCAGCACUUCGGGUGGGAACUUUAAGGAUACUGCCAGUGACAAACUGGAGGAAGGCGGGGACGACGUCAAGUCAUCAUGGCCCUUACGGCCAGGGCUACACACGUGCUACAAUGGUCGGUACAAAGGGUUGCUACUGCGCGAGCAGAUGCUAAUCUCAAAAAGCCGAUCGUAGUCCCGGAUCGCAGUCUGCAACUCGACUGCGUGAAGUCGGCAUCGCUAGUAAUCGCGGAUCAGAAUGCCGCGGUGAAUACGUUCCCCGGGCCCUUGUACACACCGCCCGUCACACCAUGGGAGUUUGUUGCACC